CUGCAGCCAGACUUCUCCUCCUGACUAAGCAUUAACCAGAAGUACCAUGGAACUGCCAGAGAUUUUUCUUGAGCUACUUUAGUGGUCUCAGCGGCCCAAAGAAGAAAACUGCCAAUGUGCAAGAUUUCAUUAACUUGCAAGGCAGCAAGACAGAGUCCCCCAGGCCAAACUGCAAAUCUGCAAAUCAUGGUGUAAGGUAGAGGUGAAUAAUAAAGCAGUGGAAAAGGACAACAGAGGGAACAGUACUGAUGAUUCCCAUCACUCCUUGUUGAGGCUGCUCCGAGAGUCCACUGAAAUACCCAGGAACACAGCCUUGGUUUUGGGUGAGUGGGAACACUCUUGACCCAGCUUCUCCAGGCCUCCCUCUGUGCAGGAGAUUUGCUGGCAUUGUCACAGCCACAGACUGCAGGAAGAAAGCUACAUAAAGAAGAAAAACUCACUCUAUUGCACUCUGAAUACUUCUAAGAAGAGCAACUGCUACCUAGCCAUGUCUGCACUUCUGCUCUACUGUCUCAAAAAGAAGAGAGAGCUCCUUCUGCCACAUUUUUUCUCUAUUUCACAAUGGGCUUCACCAGCAGAACUGGGGAGGAUCAUCAUGGGACCAAGACUGCAAAGCAGUUAAGCACUUUGCCUGGUGAGAAGAGCAGAAGGAAAUCCGUUCACAUGGCAUCAACCCUGAGCAACCUGGGGAUCAGAGGACCUUCAGAGGAGGUGAAAGAGAGCAAGAGGAUGUUUCCAUUUUGGCUGAGGUGGUUUUUGGAUGUACGGGAACACAGCUAUGGCCAGCUUUCUCUGGCCCAGCAACAGCAUGAAUUGUAAAUUGAGUUUUCUGGGACAGCACACUUCUGCUCAGCUCUGUGUCAGGAACAGAUAAAAAUCUGUCUCUUGGCUCCAAACACGUGACAGCCCUCAAGGAGACUGGCAAGCAACAAGCUCUGGGGCUGUGCUAGGGAUCACGUACACCAGAAAGGAGAUGUGUUUCAUGCUGGAUUUCCAGUUUACCAGACAAAUAAUGAAAAUGAAGUGUUUGCCUUGGAGCCACCCCAUGCCUGGAGAGCAGUGACCCUGCAAACCAUCAGUGUGCAAGGCUGAUCUCUCACACAGCACCGUGCCUCAGUGUUACUGUGGCACCCUCCUGGGACUCCUCUUGCUCUCCUCUUGCUCAUCCACUUACUCAGAGCACAGAAUUAAGAAAAAGGAAUCAAGUUUCUGUUUGCUUUCCCAUUAGAGAUGGUUUCUGAACAGUUUCCAAAGUCUGGAAUAUCUGAUGUUUCAAGGACAUCACAACAACCUAUUUCACUUUCUACAACCCUCACUAUGUUUUUCCUGUUUCUAACAGUCACCCCCAUUCUCUAAAGCUUUGGGAAUUUUCUGUAUAGGAACAGAAGGUACACUAGGAGUGAAGUUCUUAAGGAGAAAAACCCAAAGAGCUGAUAUUUCCUUCUCUUCCUUAUUUCCCUUCUCUCAGCUAUUUGACUUUCCCCUCAGUAAAUAUUGAUGAAACUGAAUGUUGGAGAGGUAGGGUUCUCACUGUUAGUCAUACCAAAAGAUAUCAAUACAUUAAAUUUUCAAAAUCUUACCCUAUGUCCAUUCUCCAAGUGUGGCAACUUUCCCAUUACUGACUUAGAUAUUUUGAUAUUAAAAAAUUUUCUAUCUUAUAAUUUCUAUAUGUUAUUUUCUCAUACAAUUUAUUAAAAAAAGCAAGAUACAGUAAAAAGUAUUUUUUUAAGUCACCAAAAAAAUAAUCCAGAACUAUGCUUUUGCCCUAGGAAAGCUAUAAAUGGGUGUUAGCAGUUUGUAGCAGGAAAAUUUCAUGAAGUUUUACAAAAAUAAUAGAAUUAUAGAGAUAUGGGUAAAUUAGGUACAUGAGAAAGGAUUAAAACAGCUUUCUCUGAGGGAAAUUAAGUCUCACAGAGGAGUCAAUGAGUACAGCUAUAACUGUGACCCAAGUGAAAUAGCGUAGUUCAGUUAACAAAACUUUUUGAUGAGACAUCUCCAAGGACUUCUACAGUAACUAGGCUGUCAUGGAAUGAAUGUGGAUGUUCUCUCCUGAAUUAACUGUCAAAAGAUAAGAGACCAAAUGAAGGAAUAAAUGGACUGCUUUCUCAUGGAGAGGCCAUCGGGGGAACAGUGCUACAUCUGUGCUUGUCAACCAUUUCUAAAUGGUCUGAAAAAGAAGCUGAAUUCAACGCUAAUGAGUGAGAGUUUAUGGAAAAAGCAAGCCAGCAGCAGCAUGAUGGAGAGACUGGUUCAAAAAGGGAUUGAACGGGCUCAGAGAAAGAACAGUCUAACUACAGCUAUCAAACCCAACCAGACAAAUGCAUCUUCCAAAACAUCUCCAAGUCUCCAUCAGAAGCCGAAACAGUUUAAGAGAGGAAAGGUAUCCCUGUGGAUAUCCUUUCUGCUCCUGUCCUAUGUUUCUGCUACCAAACUCAUCUGCAGGAUGCUGACUGGAGUGACUCUGGUGAGGUGCUGGACCUUCUACAGUUCUCAUCAUCUCAUUCCUACUCUACACAAUUCUCCCUUCAGGGAACUGGAAAAAAAAAUCAAUGGACUAAAAACAAUUAAGUCAAAAAGAGUGAAAAACAUACAGUGUUUUUUGUUUUUCUUUUUUUUUUGUU